AAAAAACUAAGCAAAGCUAAGUGUUCCCUAUAAAGUAAUAUGCAAAUUCCUUUUAUUUCAGGACUCUCCAUGCUUAUGCACAAUCCUACCUCUCUUCACUUCAGCUGUAGGACCAGGCUGUCCAUUGGAUACAUGGGACAAAAUUACACAGAUGUAAAAGAAUCUCUAAGCCGUCAGCGCCCAGGCACUUCUGCCAUUAAGAUGCCAUGUAUUCAAUGUAAGCACAAUCACAUACAGUCAUACCUCAUGUUAUGGACGCUUCAGGAUACGUGUCUUGGGGUUACGGACCGCGGGAAACCCGGAAGUACCGGAACAGGUUACUUCCGGGUUUCGCUGUGGGUUGCGGACGUGCCUCCGUCACAGAUUACAUCCACAACCCGAGGUUCCACUGUAAUUUGGUUCCAGGCACAGGACUGAACAUCCAAAAAGAUCCACUUUCAUUUUAUAAAGAUCUGUUUCAAGCCCAUAGGGUUGGAGGAAGAGUGUAUGGACAAUGGAAUCUCAGAACCUUGAAUGGGAAGUUGAACAAGUUAUGCAGUGUUCAGAAGUGGGGCUUCAGUAACCUGCAUAACUCAGUGUUCCUUCUUAUAAGCAGAGAAUAAAUUAUGCAAAAUAUGGAAAUACAUGCAGAUUUGCAAUUUAUACAGGAGUCAGAAUACAGAUUAAGUGGACUUAGAAAUUUAUUUUCUUAGUGCAGAAUAAUAUAGCUUUCCACACCACUGUCUUCAGCAAUUCUGACAGUAAGGAAUGCAAGGUUACCCAAUCAUGCCAUUAGAAUAAGUUGAUGGAUCGUAAUAUGUGCACAUGUGUAUAAAGAAUAACUAAAUGAGAACGGCAUCUUCUCUGUUUCCAUUUGCCAUUAAAACCAUUUAGUUCAUGGUGCUUUUGAAUCAUCUGAAAAGAAGAGGUAAAUGAUAACGUCAAGUAAGCAAUCCAGAUUGCCUUCAAAAUUUUCAGACAAGAAUAAAUCAAUGCACAAGUGAAAGCCACAGCAGGAAACCAUAAUAACCAACUGAAGUUUCAUUUUCCUGUCUAUUGCAGUGGGUUAAUAUUGCAGUGCAGAGCUUUUUGCCCCAUUACUCAUUUGUGAGAAAGCAAGAGGUUUUAGACAAAAACUUCCUGUGGAUUAUUACUUAUGAGUCCCCCCAACUUUUUAUUGAAUUUUUGUUGCAUGCAAAACCUCUUUAACUAUCAUAUUUACUUUUUUAUGUUCUUAAUUUUUAAUGUUCUUAAUUCAAUAGCAUGCAUCAAGUUAUUGGUUUGCUUUUGUUUUAUUAUGUAUUUUGUGUUCUCGUUUUAUAUUUUUAUGUUGUGAACCACCCUGUGAUCUUCAGAUAACCAAUUAAAACUCAGGUAUACAAAUUUAAACAAACAAAUAAAUAAAUUCUUACAGUUUGUUAAUGAAGAAAUUAGCAACAGGAGCAGGUGGGAAAUAGGCUUGGAGGUUGUUCACCUAUACACUGACUUAAAGGCUUUCAGUCAUGAUAUAAACUAAUUAAGUGAGCACAGAAUUGCUGGUGAACCCCACAAAAUUGCAAGUCACUCUGUGUGUAUAAUAGACAGCUAUUCCUAACUACAGAACUUGGGAACCAAAAGCCUAUCUUUCUGACAGGCAAUUUGCUAAACAAGCUUCAGUUUAGAUAAGAGAUGGGAUAUAUGAAACUCCCUGCAGAACACUCUGCUUAAUGUAACCGAAAUGCCAUAACUUUUGGUCACACUCAAUCUAACCUUGUUCUUAGAACACUCUUGUACCGUAUUAAUCCAGAUUUACAGACCAAUCCCAAACAUAGUUACAUGGAAAUACAUUUCACUGCAUUCAAUAGGAUUUACUUUUCUGGUAAAUGUGCUUAUAGGAUUGUAACCUAAAUCAUUCAGGAUUUGCCUGGAUAUUUUGUACUUUAAAUGUAAUGUAGCCAUCACAAAACCUAUUUACAAUAUCUCCCUUCCAGUUCACCUGGAGCACUUUAUGGCCAGAAUUAACUCCUAACAACAGAGAUUGUUUAGUCUACUAUUUAUGUAACUCACAUGUGUCUGUCAUGGGGGCUGGACAACUUACACUUUUUAAAAGAUGUUUGCAGACGGAAGGGAGGAUUUAUCCAAUAACAAUGGGGUAUGAUGUUUCAUGUGACUCUAGGCCCAUGUCUUACAUAUAAUCAACAAAACUUUGUCCAAACUAGGAUUACAUUGCUCCAGCUUUCAAAAACCAGUUUCCCAAAGAGUAAAUGCUAUGGUUUGUUUUUGAUUCCUUACCCAUUUCAGUCUGCAGUCAUUUACACCAGCAGUAGCUAGCCCAUAUCUUUCUCACUAGCAAGAGAAUUCGAUAAAUAUGGGACCACCACCCAAUGUGUCCCUGCUGCUUACAAUUAAUCCCUCCCCGUCUCUUAAGUUUUUAUAAUGUACUGGGUUUUUCGGCAUCAGUUCCUGCAGUGCCAUAAUCUCAGAGACAUUUCUGUUCACACAACAUUGCUGCAGGUUAACUUUCAUGUUGGAUGCAUUUUGACACCUGACCCCAAUCUCAGUACUUUUCCGAAGCAUGGUGGCCUUUUGCAUCAUAUCUACAAGUGCUUUAAAGCAUCGUGUUAUGGCUCAAUUGUUGUUUAGCUCUUAAACAACAGGUGCAAGAUUAAGAAUCAAGCAGCAUGUGGCCUCAGUGUGUGCAAAGUAGUGUUCCUGCCAAAAAAAUAGACUCCUUCGGAGUAGUACGUCUUAACCAUUUAAAAUUAUGUGGCUUCAAGUCUUAUUGAUACAUAAUAUGGGAUAGAGACAUUAUAUUCAGAAGAAUAUUCCCUCAAAUCUUCCUUCCAGUUCCUCUCUGUGGGUUGCAUCCAGUGCUGUAUAACCAGAGUUCCCUUUGCACUAUAGGGAGUUGCCCUUCCUCUCCUCUUCCUUCAGACCCCCAAUAUCUGAUGCAGAGGGUUCCCCAACCUUCUGGAGCAGAUUUUGAAGAUGCAAGGGGGGAAUGCAGGGGAGAUGAGGGGGGAGUUCCCUUGUGUAAACUGGAAUUUUCUGCACAAGUGGAAGAGCAGUAUUGGAUACAGUCCAAUACAGUCAUAUGGUACUGCAGGGGUACUUGGUGCCCUCCAGAUGUUGUUCAACUAUAACUCCCAUCAGCCUCAGUCAGCAUGAUCAUUGGCCAGGGAUGACAAAAAGAUUAGAUCAGCAACAUCUGUAGAACACCACAUUGGCUACCCUGUGCCUGCUGUAAGGCUAAGCAUAUGGAUGCAUGAAAUAAACACACGUCCUUCUCCUGUGACUCCAUCUCUCUUAUUUUUCUCUGGUCUCCACUGUAUUGAAUUGUAGAUGGCAAGCUUCUCGGGAUAGGGGCCUGUAUUUUCCCAAAUGUUAUAAAAUAAGACUUACGUAGGUAACAUGCUUAUGAUGCAAUCCAAUACAUGUUUACUCAGUAGUAAAUCCUGUUGAGUUUAGUGGGAUUUAUUGCAAAGUACGUGUGUACAGUAUAGGAUUUCAUCCUGAAUUUUCAAAGUACUAUAAUCCCCCUGAUUGGCUUUAUAGUGGCAGUAAAGGAAAACAAUUCACUUCAAUACUUGUUCUUCCAAGGUUUUUCUUUAAACAUUUUGCUCUUUUUUCAAACACAUUUGUCUUCUUGCCUUUGCAUCAUCCAAAUACACAUUGUUAAAUGAUUAAAGAUUGUCAAAUCCCAGUAGAUGAUGUUAGGGUAUAGCCUGUAGUAUUGCAGCCCAUUUUCAUGCAGGGUUUUCACCAUUAAUAACCGACUUAACAAGCCAAAACUAAACAUUCCCAAUGUUAGAGAAAACUGCACCUGGAAUCAUAGAAAUGUUUCUGCCCCCCCCCCCCCCGACACAAAAUGGUAACCUUAACAGAAUGUGAUUGCAACAUCCUUCCUCUUGCUACAUAGCUACUUGAGCACCCAAUGGAGGGCCAUUUCACACAAAAUAUGUCCUUCAAUUUGACUAUGAAGGAAUUUUAUGAAACACAGCCAUAUGUUCCUGGAAGACUGCUAAUCAUGGAUCUGCAAUUGCAAAUGAUUCUUUAUGGACAGUACCGCAGAUGAUGGCACCCUCUGGAAAACAAGGGCAGUGGCUAUGUUAUACAAAUUACUGCAAUAGAAGACUAGUGUGAAACUACACACGUGUGAACUAGAUUUCAAAAAGGAGUGAAACAUGGUAUUUCCAUGCUCCUAAAUAUAAUACGGGAAGCAGUCCUAGAGGCUGCAAUAAGCAAAAAUGGAAGGGGCAGAUGCUGUUAGAGAUAAGCAAACUUUUUCUCUUUUCCUGCUGCUGAAUAUAAAAAAGAGAUACACUGUAGAUAAAUGACAAUUAAUGGCAAUGUAGAAAAGGCAAUUAAUUACAGUCAGCAAAUGGCACGAGACAACGGGUAAAUGGUGAUGGAUUAACAAUCAAUUAAAGGCAGAGAGGAGACCAUCUGUUAAAAAUGGUAAGAGUGAAUGUUCAGUUGAUCGAUAUCAAUGAAGAGCUAGGUAUAAGAUAGUGAACAGUAUUAACAAUGGGCAGGUACUCUGCACCUGAUCUUAGCAGUCUCUCAGAAGAAGGAGAGUGAAGAAUUGCAUGCAAAAGGAGUAUGAAGCAAAUAGUUAAACUAUUCCAGGAAGAGGGAGACUUGAAGGUCAUCUCAUUAGCUCUAACGGGCCAACGCACUAAAAUGUCUUAUGAUUAAGAAUUUUUGUGAUUAUUAUUUUUUAACAGUUGUGACAGCAGUGAAGACAGUUCUUAUGAACAUAUUUUAAAGGUGAAAAAUAUGCAUGGUAUUUCAAGGAUCUCGGCCCUUAUGGAUGCUCUAUAAUCAUGAAAGGCAGGAUUUGAAAACUAUUUAGUUAGUAAAGAGGAAUCUAAACAUGCGAUUGAAAUGUGGAGAUUGGAAUGCUACACUGAAGACACAAAUAUGUUCAGCUCUCAUAAUCUCAUUAGAGAUUCAUCAUCCAUACAUUGUUGCUCUUGCUUAUUUGACAAAAUAGGAUAAGCAAUGAGAAAGAUGGCAUACGGUUGGCAAGCAUACAUGAAAGAAACAUAUAUGACUCCAGAUGUGUGAGCAAAGAAGCCUGAAAGAUUACAUAAAUUGGGCAUCUAUGGUUACAAUCCACAAAUUCAACAGAAUGUGUAACCCGCUAUGUUCCACUUCACAUAGAACAGUCACCAAGCGACCCAAACUUGUCAUUUUUCACUGCACCUAUAUUUGCUUCAUUGGUUUAUAUUUGUAAGCCUCUUUGAGCCCAGUGCUAUAGGGUGACCUAGAAAUAUUCUUUAAUAUUAUAUGUUCCAUACUGUUGUUUUUAUUUUAUUUUUAUUUUAUUUAAUGUAAGCUGUUCUGGGCAACUGGAAGGGUGGGAUACAAAUCCUCUUAAUAAACAAAAUCUAUUGAUGUUGCUGACAUCGUUCUGUCUGUUUCUCUCUUUUUCCAUUGCUUAAUUUCUGCACCUGCCACCCAUUAUCCAGUUUGCCCUAACCACACUUAAGUUGCAGUUAUGGCCCUUAAAAAAAGAAGAAGAAGAAGAUUACAUUUGAGCCCUGCCUAUAGUAAGAGACCAGACUGGAACUCUUUAAGACUGGUGUAGGCCAAAGCAAUUUAAGGACAACCAGACAUUUGCCUUUUAUUUGAAACACCCAGGAAUUAUGGCCUGUAAUUCAGUGGCAGAGUACACGCCUUGCAUUCAAAAGAUUGCCAUAUGAGCAGAUUUAAGUCAAAAUUAAACACUUUUGAAACUCCACGCUUAUACCUCUUUGGUUGAACUUUAUGAGUGGCUUGUUGGUGUCACAGAUUGUGUUUGUGACUAUCAGGACCUAGGGCUUAUUUUAAGCCAUAGCUCCCCAGGAUUCACGUCCUAUUUUCAUCUCUGGGCUCAGACAUGAAAAAUGAUGUAGUAAGAAAGGAAUGCCUUUCCCUUGCUACUGUGUAAUCAUGGCCAGACGGUCCCCAUGAGUCUGGGAUUAGGGGUGCAGGUUUACAGGUCAUUGGUCAGGACUUCAAACUACACAUCCCAUGUGAGAACCCAGCAGCACCUCUCUGUUUAAGAAAUGUGUAUCAUAUUUCCAGAGUAGAUCUUCAUACCUACUGGGUGGCAAAUUUGUGUGGGGAGAUGCACUUAUCAGAGGUUAAGCUCCCCCAAAAUGCUACAGUAGUUACUUUUGAGAAAGAAACCAAAUCACCCUUUUACAUGGCAAAAUUUCAGCUAUCAUCUGCUUUUAGCCCCCAAGAAAAGAGAAGCAGAAUUCAUUCAAUUUAUAAGAAGCUUAUGAUGUCAGUUGUGAAAUGUCAACAGAUAGCAACUUAGUCUAAUCCCCAAAAGAUGACCUACUUGAAGAUGUUUGACAGCCUAUGCAAUCUCUUUGUGCAGAGUCAAUGAAUGUCACUUAAAGGAGCUGAAUUUCAAAUGUAUCAGAUUUUGUACCAGCCACUAUAUUACUAUUGGAUCCAAUUUUGACUUUACUGUCUGACAUUUGAGGGCAGAAAGAGUGCUAAAGAGGACAUUAUGUUCAGCCACUGCAAACUCUGCAGGAUUCUACCUCAAAUCUCUCAUGUUCCUUUAAUUAAAUGCAUCUCUAGAAUGUUCACUUCUAUUACCAAAGACUUGAAAUAUGAACUUCAUUAUUACAUUUCUUUUAGAAUGAGCCUGUUGCCUGGCUGUGAAUGGUCCUGAAUGUCACACACUGAAAUCUGGGUGUCAGCAAGCAAUUUAUCAGGAAGGUAACCAAACUGGGAGGAUACCAUGCCCUCAAGCUGGCAAGCAAUGAUGGACAGCUUGAACGCAGUUGAUACUGAAUAACCAUGCCAGAGUUAGAAUUUAUAAGGAAAUGUAGGCUCCCUAGCUGGAAUGACAUCCUCUGGUCAUCUGAAGCACAGAGGAAAAGCAGGCUAGCAGCAACCUACUUUGGCAAUGCAGCAAGGAAGGCAGCUGAGUCCUUCCUUACCAUUAACCCCAAACUGAGCCCUCUGGUGCCUUGCAUUAUAUUAGGGUUGACAGCUUUAUUCCUGGUUGCUUUGUUACGAUUGGCUACUGCAUUUGUCCAUAUCCUGUCCUCCAAUGGGGAUUAAGAGCACUGGGAAUUGUAGCUCUGUGAGAGGUAAACCAUAGAACCCAGGAUUUGGGGGGUAGGGAGAUAUGCAUUAAAUGUAUGUUAUACAGUAUAGCCAAUAUAAGUUGCUGCCUGUUGACGUUUCACAACUACCGGUAGUUAGGGGCAGCUUGUUUUCAAGCAACGUGCAUUUGAUAGAGCGCAGUGGUUUUCAUGCACAUUUUUGUCCCUCAUUUUAAACAGGAUUCCAAAUAUUCUGCUCUGUGGAUGUUCCUGUCAAAAAUAGUGCUUUCAGGGCAGCUGAAAUAUUUCAUGACUGACUGUAAAUCUUUUUUUAAAAAAGAAAAAACACCAACCAGUCCUUUUCUCUGUCCUUAUUUUCCUUCUCUGCUGCUGAUUUGGUGCCAUUUUCCCUUGUGAUUAUGUACUGUCUUCUUCCUUGAUUAAUUGAGCUCCCUGGAAAUCACAUAGUGAUGCAACAUAGCCAGAUUUGGCUAGGCACAGCUACAGGCAUCACUGAGGACAAAUGAAGCCAAUUCAGUCUGCCUGCCCUCACUCUGAAUAUGCAAGCAUUUUCACCCCCUUCUGACAGCAAGCAGGAAGGAAGGGCAGACAGGUAGACAGAAAGGACUAGACUGGACAGUGAAAUGGGGGGGGGUGGUCAAGAAAAGCACCUUCAGCUUUGAGGAGGUCUAAUCCUGGAUACUAAAUGACCCGACUGUUCCACCAUUGCUUCACAUCUCCUGUUCCACCCAUACCUGGCCAUCUGUAAGCAGCCUUGGGCUGCUCCAGCCGUGAGGUGUAAUUUUGCUGCAUGGCACAACCUCCAGUUAGCUGUGCUUAGAACAUUCUGGUGACAAGCUCUACUCUUUCCACAUGGAAGGAGCAAGUGUGAUCCUUCCCUGCCAAGCUAUUUUGUAAACAUACAUGUACUGCAAAUCUGUUUCACUCAAACAAAUAUUUCCAGAAUAUGCUUAGUUAAGAAGCAUAUUAAGAAGCAAAUAAGUGAUUGGGCCUGAGAUGAUUACAUAAAAAACACUGGAAAGCGGCUUUUUUUAAAAGGCAAUCAGUUGAAUAAGGACAGUCAGAAAACACCCAGAAGGAUUACUGUUCUUGAUAAAUAUUACAAUAACUGUUGGAAUAAGCCAUUGCAUUGAGGAGGGUUAUUAAAGUUAUGUGGAUUUUUUUACAUCUGGAGAAAGAAACUGGUAUUUAUAUUGGUGUUAGUGCAUCAGAUAGAAAGGCUGUAACAUAUUUUGAUAUAUUCAAAACCUAGGUGAUAUAUAUAAUCUAUCACGUGUCUGCACAACUUGUGACCCGCCAAGCUGAAGCGACCAGUGGGAAUGCCAUGAGUCUCUGGAGCUUUCCACGUCUUUGAUCUACAGUUUUACUUCCUGUAGUGCUCUCUCCACCCAAUUUCUUCCCAACACUACACCCUUCCACUCUUUGUGAAGUGUCCCCUACCUGCUGUGUAAUUACCUCCUAUAGAUUUUGUAGAAAUGUUUCCAUAUCCAGGUAAGACUGGCAUCUUGGCUGUGUACACCCCAUACAGUGGUACCUUGGUUCUCAAACUUAAUCCGUUCUGGAAGUCCAUUCUAAAACCAAAGUGUUCCAAAACCAAGGUGUGCUUUCCCAUAGAAAGUAAUGCAAUAUGGAUUUAUCCAUUCCAGACUUUUAAAAACAACCCCUAAAACAGGAAUUUUACAUGAAUUUUACUAUCUCACGAGACCAUUGAUCCAUGAAAUGAAAGCAAUAAACAAUGUACUGCAGUCACACAACCAAUCAAUCAGUAGCUGAACUGGGUCCCACACAGUCACAAAAACAAAGCAAAAAAGCCGCAAAAACAAAAACGAAAGAUAAAUAGCAAAAACAGACAGACCUCAGCGUAACACUCAAAAUGGAAGUGUGGCACUCAAAUUGGAACACGUUUGGCUUCCCAAAAAAGUUCACAACCGGAACACUUCCAGGUUGGCCGGGUUUCGGUUCCAGGUUGUUUGAGUACCAUAACGUUUGAGAACCAAGGUACCACUGUACAUUUAAAGCACAUCUCCCCGCCACCAAAAUAACCUGGGAACUGUAGUUUGUUAAUGGUGCUGGGAAUUUUACCUCUGUGUGCGUAAAACUACAGUUUCUAAGAUUCGGAGGCGGGAUGUGCUUUCACAUACAUGAGUGAAACAAAACCUGAGAUCUCAGCUAUAAAAUAAUGCUCCUAGGUAAAUGGGUGGGUGGGGGAUCAUAGGCUUAUUUCCUAAAUAGAUUUACCUUCUGCCUUGUUGCCAGCUGCUUGAUUUCCAUGGUCUAGAUGAGAUCAGAGAACCCGUUAUUAUCCUCCAGCCUUUGUGUAAUCUUCAGGUUUGGCUUUCUGUUACUGUUUACUUAAACCAGCAAAAACCUGCUUAUUGUUUGUGAUUAUCUGCGCACCAAACGUAAAACUCUGUUAUUAUUGUAGACACAAGACAGAAGGGGGGGGAGGGCUUACGCUUUUCAUUCUUAAAACUGCAGUGUAAUUUGUGGCAAGAGAUUAUUAUGACCCUAUGGGAAUCAGAACAUCACUGACGCCUCACUUUCAGGGAAGAUAUAUAGGAGAGGCCUUCACUCGUGAUAUUUAUUUUAUUUUUAUUUUUUUACUCCUGUAGCUUCUUAGUAGGAUUCCCUACCCAGUCCUGCAGGUUUGGAUCUUCUUGGUACAAUUUUAUUUUCUGUCUAGCAGUGUGGCCUAUAUAAAGCAGCAGAUGAGGGCAAAGAAUAAUGACUUUACCUGGUGACCCAUUACAAUGUAUAUAGAAUCCAUGUUUAUUUGAGCUUUGCAUGGGGAGUGCAAACUGGACCUCUUAGGCUUCGGAUGAAUCUUCAGUUUUAUGGAUUCACUGAAGACCUUUAAAAGGUCAGGCUUUAUAUUUCCUCACAUGUAAUAUAUUCCUUUCAUGUGCUCAUAAAGAAAUCCCCUUCUUUCACCAAUGUAUGCAAUAAACCAGGGAUGAUAAGUCAGAAAUCAAGGAGAUCAUAGAUAUAAAGCCUCUUAAUAAACUUUCCAGAAACUAGAGUCAAGGAUGCAUUUCUCAAAAGGGAAUGUGUCUUUUUCCAAGAAAAUUGCCAGAAUGCUCUCUUAAUAUGCACUGAUUUAAUAAGCACUUGAAUGGAUUGGGGAAAUAUAAGAUUAGAUCAAGAAACAGUUUCGACUCAGAAAUAGAUCCGAUUUUUUUAAUAGCAAAAACCAAAACUGAUACAAGACGAAUCUUGAGGUUCAGGCACACCCUAAUCAACAUUUAUCAGUAGCCUCAUCAAUAUUAUUAAAUGAGAAGGAAGAGGGGGUGAUUCAUUUAAGAAAAUGAAUGGGAACAGAUCGAUGAGCAACCACAUUGCCUGAAAGAGAAAGAGUCAGACUUUUCAUUAAUUAAAAACAUUUGCCAUUCCCACUUUUUUAUUAAUUAAAGAACUGCUAGAUUACUGUACUGUAGUCUGCAGGAUGAUUUUAGCAUUGUUCAGUGCUCAUCACCACAUUCCUUAUUACUGCUUGUGAUUAUGCAAAUGUUUCAUUCUUCUGAGUUAACUCUGAGUUAACUUCUGAGUUAAUCAUACAAUCGUUCAGGGGGUUUCCAAUCUGUGUCAGAGAGGCUUAAUUUGGACCAUUAAGUGACCCUUAAAUCAACUUUCUUUGCAUUUUCUGCUUCUGCAAUUUGAGUGCAAAAGCUCUUCAUUCAGUAUAAAAUUAGCUCUAUUCUGCACAUUAACAGCAUUCACAGAGUACAAGAGAGGCUAGAUAGUGAAAUGUGAAGAUGCCCACUGAUUUCUUUUGAUAGAUUGGAUCAACGUAUCCAUAAUUGAGAGUCACUGGUAUUCUCCUUCAUCUUUACAUUUUUUCUCCUCCUCAGACACAGUUACACGCUGGAAAGGAUCUACAAGUUAGCAGUGUUCAUAAAGUGGUUGGAACAUCUUUCUGUCUGGCAUUAGACACUGGGCCUUGUUCAUUGGCUUCCUAUAAUUAACCAGAGAGCAUACUUACCUUGGAACAGCUUCGGGUGUAACUUGCAAAUCAUGCAGUCAUAUCAACGUUUCCAUUUUUUUCACUGUCAUAAUGUGGGAGGAAUGGUAUGAAACCUUUCACCAAUAUGUUGAUGGAUGAUGUGAUGAGUUAUUUUUGAAACACACCCCAACUCGGAGAAGGAGGAGAACAGGUUGUUAUUCCUGCCUGUUAAUGAAUUGCAGUCAUUUUCUCAUCUGCACUUAUUCCCUCCCAGUACAAGCACCUGUUUCUAAAGUCCACUUUCUUGAUCACUCUCUGGGUUUAAUUUACAGUGUGAUCCUAUGCAUGUGUACUCAGAAGAAAGUCUGUCUCUGUUAAUUGGGGCUUACUUUCCGGAAAGUUCAUAGCAUUGCAGCAUUAGUGCCACAAAUGGAAGCUUUGCUUUGUUACUUUAUAAGUUAUUGAUCACCUGUGGGAUACAAUGUGAGCAUAGUCAUGACUGAUUAGUAUCCUAGAUGGGAUAUUCUGGAACUACGGUGUUAUUCUGUGGAGAGCUAUGGAGUCUGAGAAAAUAUUUCACAUCAAUUAUUUGGGGGCGUUUACGCACCGAGAUAGAAUUUCUCACCUGCUUGAGUGUAUGCCACUUGGCUAGAGAUGAGAAGUCCUACAACUUAUUGGAAAUAUUGAUUAGAGCUAACAAAAAUCUGACUGACUUGCAUUUUCAUUAAACCAGACCUCCAUCUGCCCUUUCAAGAUGGAGACAGACACUGCUUUUGGGCACAUGUCUGACAGCAACUCCAAUAAACACUUUACAAUCAUGUUUGCUGCAGGUAUACUAGCAUUGCUGCAGGAAAAACCCGGGCACUAUUCCAACCAGACAACUUUUUCUCUAAAGAAAUGCAUUUAUUCUGCAUUUUCAUGCAUUCAUAUCUUUUAAAGAGCAAAAUGCAAAUAGCCCUUCUUCAUUGUCUCACUGAAUUAACCAAUGCUAACAUUUCAAUAUAAAGCCUGCUUAAUAGGCCAUAACUUGAAGGGAAAUGUCUGGGAUACUGGCUUGGGUGGGGAAGUAGCAGCAAAUUAUUCUCUUAUCUAACCUAUGCAUCAACAUCAUAAUCUAGGCGUAAUUAGCUAGCAUCUCACACCAAGCAGUAAAAGCAGAGAAGCUGGCUAAGCAUGUCUUCCAAACUUUGGAAUGAUUUGUAAUGUAUUCAAGAGUGCAAGGUGUGCCACAGGCUGAAUGCCUCACUUUUAUUUAAGCAGAGCUCUCAUGAACAUUUUUGUAGUGAUGUCAGCUGCAGCACAGAACUGCCCUAGUGCUCAGAAACUCGUGGCCAGCUAAAAGAGUCAUUUUCCUCAAAAAGCAGGAUGGACUUCAAUCGAACUGUGAACAUGGUUUAAGUCAUAACAUUGUGCCAGCCCUGGAUUGUCCAUACCAAAGACUGUAGUGGCUACAGUUUGGGGAGAAAGCAUGACCAACAAACAAACGAAGAUAUACAUGUUAAUUACCAGUUGCUGGAAACAAUCAAAUGAAACUUUUUAAAAAAAUCCUGAAGGGAUAAUGUCAAGGUAGUAACACUAUACACAAGCUUCUAUGGUUUGUCAUUACAGGAAUUAAUUUAAGCGAGCCUGCCGUGGCCAUGUGGAAGAGGUCAGAAACUUCUUCUACUGUCUUUGACUGACUGCAGCUUUUCAUUAUGUCAGAACACCAUGGACAGAAUGUGGUUCCAAAGUUUAGCCACCCCUGUCUUAAUGUGACAGAUGCCCUAGUCUUUUAGAAAUAUAACCACCCAGUAUUAGCCUCUAAGAGUUCAUAUUCUAAAACCUUAUUUAUGUACACAGCGUAAACAUAUUACAAAACAGCAGUCUCUUGUGGCUUGAAAUGAAGACAUGGAGAAGCCGGCCCUUACAUUGCACUGUAUGUGUGAACCGACCUUCUCCGGCCGUUUUCACUGUCCCUUGAUAAACCUCAAAAGAGGAGGGGAACAAGCCUGGGGGGUGAUUUUGGAGUGCAACUCUGUUUGUACAUGAGAGAACCCCCUCAGGAGAGAGACCUUAAAAAAGGUUGUACAUGUUCCACAAACAACCGCAACAGAGAAUUCAAAUUAGAGAUGUGGCAAAUGGAGAGUGGAAUGUAAUCAUCCAAGGGUCAGAGCCAGAGAUGGUUUUAGGGUAGCACUGGACACCGUGUUGCAGGGGCCGCCACAACAAUGCUGUAGAACGAGCAUGAGAGGUGGAGUGGUGCCAAAUUUUAACAUCAUGCAGGGCGCCCCUGAAAUUUGAGAGCCCAAAUUCUGCCACACUGCCAGAGCUCAGGGGCACCACAUGCAUGUUCACGACAUGCAGAAGGUCCCAGGUUCCAUCUGCAGCAUCUCCCCAUAGGCUGAGAGAGACUCCAGCAUGAAACCUGGGUGAGCCACUGUUGUCAGUGCAACCAAUACUCAGCUGGAUGGACCAAUAGUCUGAUUCAGUACAAGGCAGUUUCAUAUGAUAUCCAAGUUCAUGCAAGGAAUGACUCACACCAGGGAGAGUAUUCUCAGUCCCUGAAAGAUAUUUGUAUCAUAUUUACUGGAGCUAUUUUUAAUGUGUUUUACCUUUUAAAAACUACCUUUUAAAAAAAUAAGAGUGUUUCCAAGGAGUUAUAUUACAGAACAUUGCUCUGUUAGUGGUUAAGUCUUUUAUUAUUUGUUUGAACAGAUCUAUGUUUUCAGACAGCUGUCAAUAUUGCUGCCUUUGUCACUUUAGGAUUGUUUUCAUUUCUUGUUUGUUUGUUUUUAUGAGCCCAACUUGAGCAGCCUAUAAACAAUUUCAUAAAUGAAUAAAUAGUGUUGUGAGUUUUGGGAGGCGGGUUAGGAUGUAUGAUGCCUGAGCCCCUUCUAAUUCCUGAAUCUAGCAAGGAUUAAAACCUAAUGAAAGAUACCAUUGUUGAAUUAGCCAGGCAGGGGCCAUAAUAAAGCUGCUCUGUACCAGAGGGCAAAUGGAUGGGGCCCCUCCAUCUGGCUGGUAGUGAGGACAAUAGCCAUAGAGUUGUGUUUGUGAGCUGGGCUGGAAGCAGGUAGAGGCCAGGGAGUGAGAGUCAUGCUUGAUUUCUGCUUGACUCCAAGGCUGUGACUAAGGGAGAAGCAAGAUCUUGGGGGAGGCCCUCCACUGGAGGCUCAUGUUAUAUGUACGUGCA
rnacentral:lncRNA from 1 species